rnacentral:rRNA from 1 species
CACGUAGGGCGCAAGCGUUGUCCGGAAUUAUUGGGCGUAAAGAGCUCGUAGGCGGUCUGUUACGUCUGCUGUGAAAACCCGGGGCUUAACCCUGGGCUUGCAGUGGAUACGGGUAGACUAGAGGCAGGUAGGGGAGAAUGGAAUUCCCGGUGUAGCGGGGAAAUGCGCAGAUAUCAGGAGGAACACCAAUGGCGAAGGCAGCUCGCUGGGACGGUAUUGACGCUGAGACGCGAAAGCGUGGGGAGCAAACAGG